ensembl:lncRNA
CUCUGUCUCUGCCCCAAUUCCCUGUCCCACGCAAUCUCUCUCCCUCUGGCUCUCUCUGUCUCUGUGUGUCUCUCACUUUAUCACUUUUUUAAUUUCAAUAUUAUUAUAUUUUCCAAUUACAUGUGCAAAUUGUUUUCAACAUUCAUUUUUGUAAGAUUUUGAAUUCCAAAUAUCCCCCUCUCACCCUUACCUCCCCCCAAAAUAGCAAGCAAAGUGGUAUCCCUUGUACAUGUAUAAUCACUUUAAACAUAUUUCCAUACUAUUCAUGUUACACAAGAAAAAUCAGACCAAAAGGGAAAAAGCACAAGAAAGAAAAGAUGAACAAACCGAAAAGUUGAAAAUAAAAUUCUGUUAUCUACAUUCAGUCUCCUUAAUUCUCACUCCAGACAUGGAUGGCAUUUUCCAUCCCAAGUCUACUGGAAUUGCCAGAUCACCGUAUUGCUUAGGAGAGCUAACACAGCCCAUCGGAUUGAUCACAUAAUCUUGUAUCAUUUCUUAUUAGACAAUAAUAUUCCAUUCCAUUCAUAUACCAUAACUUAUUCAGCCAUUCACCAAUUGAUGUGAAAUCCCUCCAUUUCCAACCCCAAAAAGGACUGCUAUGAAAAUUUUUACAUAUGUGGGCCCUUUCCCUUCUUUUAUGAUCCCUUUGGAAGAAAAAAAAAAGCAGUAGUGAGACUGCUGGAUCAAAGGGGAUGCACAGUUUGAUAGCCCUUUGGUCAGAGUUCCAAAUUGCUUUCCAGAAUGGCUGAAUCAGUUCACAAAUCCACCAACAAUGCAUUAGUCUCACUUUCUGUCUGUCUGUCUCUCUCUCUCUGUCUCUUCUUUUUCUUCCUUCCCUCACCUUGUUCUCUUUCUGUCUUGAUAUCUCUCUCAUCUGAUUUCUCUCUCUCUUUUUAUCUCUAGGUCUUUCUCUCCUCAUCUGUCUCUCUUUCUCCCCACUUCACUUUUUAAAAUUUCAAUAGCAUUUUAUUUUUCCAGUUACACGUAAAGAUAGUUUGCAAUGUUCAUUUUUGUAACAUUCUGAACUGCAAAUUAUCCCCACUCUCUCCCUUACUUCCCCAAACACCAAGCAGUCUGACAUAGGGCAUACAUGUACAAUCAUUUUAAACAUAUUUCUAUAUCACGCAUCUUUUCAAGAAAAACCAGACCAAAAGGGAAAAACACAACAAAGGAAAAACCAACCAAAAGCUGAAAAUCCCCUUGAGCCAUCCACAUUCAAUUUCCAUACAUUUAGUAGCUAUUUUCCACCCCAAGUCCCCUGGAAUUACCCUGGGCCCCCGUCUUGCUCAGCAGGACCCAAGGCACAUCACAAGAUUGACCAGCACAUACAUAACCUUGUACCAUUUCUUAUUGAACAACGUUACAUUCAGACACCAUCACUUAUUCAGCCAUUCUCCAAUCGAUGGGAGUCCCCUCAAUUUUUACCCCUUUGCCAGCACAAAAAUGAAUGCUACAAACAUUUUUGAACAUGUGGAUCCUUUCCCCUCUUUUGUGAUCACAUAGGAAUAGAAACCCAGCAGUGACACUACUAAUUCAAAGGGUAUGCACAGUUUGGUAGCCCUUUGGGCAUGGUUCCAAAUUGCUCUUCAGAAUGACUGGAUCAGUUCACAAUUCCACCAAUAAUAUAUUAGCCUCAAUAACUCUUUCUCUUUGUUUGUGGGUUUCAUUCUCUCCUUCUACUUGUCAUUCUCCCUCUAUCUCUCUUUCUUAGUUCUUAUUUGCA